GUGAGUCAUCGAAUCUUUGAACGCACAUUGCGCCCGCCAGUAUUCUGGCGGGCAUGCCUGUUCGAGCGUCAUUUCAACCCUCAAGCUCUGCUUGGUGUUGGGGAUCGGCAAGGCGUCCUCCGGGUCGCGCCGUCCCCCAAAUAUAGUGGCGGUCUCGCUGUAGCUUCCUCUGCGUAGUAAUACACCUCGCUCUGGAGUCUCGGUGCGACCACGCCGUAAAACCCCCAACUUUUUUCUGGUUGACCUCGAAUCAGGUAGGACUACCCGCUGAACUUAAGCAUAUCAAUAAGCGGAGGA
rnacentral:misc_RNA from 1 species